rnacentral:lncRNA from 1 species
GGCUCUGUGAGUCUGAGGCCAGCCUGGUCAACAUACUUUUAAUUUCUACUUUAGUGGGUUCUGAGAAGGCCAGGCUGAUUCUUUGAUAGGCUUCACAUUGGGAGUUAAGGAGACUAGGCCCAAAUCUCUGUUUCUGAGAACCGGGCAAGUCCAGGCAAGUCCCCAGAAGCUGCCCCGCCCAUCAUCUGGCCUGAGGCAAGGACAAUGGGUCAGCAGCAGCUUCCAGACCUUCCACAGCAGGUUCCCAGCCCUUACACCCAGGUAAAGGAAUCUGCAUAGAGAUGGACCCAACAGAUUAACACAGAGGUCACCUACCCAGAAAUUCCCUAACGUGCUUUAAAUCAGGCCUGUGAGCUCACCUGUGUGUCUCUCUAUUCGGGUAAUGGGAGACCCCAGCAUGCUGGACUUGUGCAGAAUAAAACACUCGUUGUGUUUACAUAGUUUGAGUCCAGGGUAUCAUUCUUCAGAGAAUGAUAGACCCUUACAGGUUCCAGUACAAAAAAAAAAAAAAAAAGGAAGGGAAAACAGAGAGACAGAGGGAAGAAAGGACAGGCACAGAGGGACACAUUUCACAACAAAGGCUGUGUGUACUGAGUGGGAAGAGCUGAAAGCAUUCCUUGAGGUCAGGAGCAACAGGAGGACGCCAUCCUCACACUCUUACUCAAAGCAUGCUAUAGUCCUAGACAGAACGAUCCAACACGAGAGGGAAAUCAAGGGCAACCAAACUGAAGCUAUGGCAGAUAGCAUGGCCUUACCAUAUAGAGGGCUUUUAUGUUUGCUUUGUUGUUUUCGAGACAGGGUUUCUCUGUGUAGCCCUGGCUGUCAUAGAGCUCAUUCUGUAGACCAGACUGGUCUUGAACUCACAGAGAUCCACCUUCCUGAUUCCCUGAGUGCUGGAUCUUAAGGUAUGUGUCACCACCCUCAGCUGAUAGCCUUAACUUUAAAACAAGGUCAUUUCUAUUUUUAUGUGUAUGGCUAUUUGGUCUGUUUGUACAUCGGUGCACCAGAUGUGGGCCUGGCUCCUGGAGAAGCCAGAAUUAUGGGACUGGAUCACGUUGUGGUUUGAAUGAAAAUGCCCCCCACACCCACCCCACCCCCACCUCACCCCUGUAGGCUCAUAGGGAGUGGUGGUAUUUGAAAGGAUUAGCAGGGGUGGCCUUGUCGGUGGAAGUGUGUCACUGGGGGUGGGCUCCUGGGUUUCAUUUCUCUCUUCCUGCCUGUGGAUCUGGAUGUAGAACCUUGACUCCGUCUCCAGCGCUGUGUCUGCUUAUGUGUAGCCAUGUUCUCUGCCCAGUGAUAAUGCACUAAGACUCUGAAACUAUAAAGCAGCCCUAACUAAACGUUUUCCUUUCUAAGAGUGUCUAUGGUGUCUCUUCAUAGCAAUAGAUCAAUGACUAAGGCCGGUCCCCUGCAACCAGGGUGAGCUGCCACGUGAGGGCUGGGGCUUGAAUCUGGGUCCUCUGGAAGAGCAGCCAGUGCUCUUAAUCACUGAGCCAUCUCUCCAGUCCCUAUAUAAGAAAGUUUAAGGGUUUCGUUAAUAAAUAAAUACCUACCAAAACUGAU